rnacentral:rRNA from 1 species
ACUUAGCAUAUCAAUACGCGGAGGAAAAGAAACUAACAAGGAUUCCCCUAGUAACUGCGAGUGAAGCGGGAUGAGCUCAAAUUUAAAAUCUGGCGUCUUCGGCGUCCGAGUUGUAAUUUAGAGAAGUGUUUUCCGCGCCGGACCGUGUACAAGUCUCCUGGAACGGAGCGUCAUAGAGGGUGAGAAUCCCGUCUUUGACACGGACCCCCGGUGCUCUGUGAUACGCUCUCGAAGAGUCGAGUUGUUUGGGAAUGCAGCUCAAAAUGGGUGGUGAACUCCAUCUAAAGCUAAAUAUUGGCGAGAGACCGAUAGCGAACAAGUACCGUGAGGGAAAGAUGAAAAGCACUUUGGAAAGAGAGUGAAAUAGUACGUGAAAUUGUUGAAAGGGAAACGCUUGAAGUCAGUCGCCGUCCGCCGGGAUUCAGCCUUACGGUGUACUUUCCGGUGGACGGGCCAGCAUCACUUUCAAUCAUCGGAAAAGGGCGAGGGGGAAUGUGGGCACCUCCGGGUGUGUUAUAGCCCUUUGUCGUAUACGGUGACUGGGAGUGAGGACCGCCUUUGUAGGAUGCUGGCGUAAUGGCUUUAAACGACCCGUCUUGAAACACGGACCAAGGAGUCUAACAUGCCCGCGAGUGUUUGGGUGGAAAACCCAUGCCGCGUAAUGAAAGUGAAAGUUGGGAAGGCUAUCGUGGCCUGCACCGACGCCCGGACUUGAGAUUUAUCGAAGGUUCUGCGGUAGAGCGUGUAUGUUGGGACCCGAAAGAUGGUGAACUAUGCCUGAAUAGGGUGAAGCCAGAGGAAACUCUGGUGGAGGCUCGUAGCGAUUCUGACGUGCAAAUCGAUCGUCAAAUUUGGGUAUAGGGGCGAAGGACUAAUCGAAACCAUCUAGUAGCUGGGUUCCUGCCGAAGU